AACGCACAUUGCGCCCCUUGGUAUUCCGAGGGGCAUGCCUGUUCGAGCGUCAUUAUCACCCCUCAAACCCCGGGUUUGGUGUUGGAUCAAAGUCGUCUGGCGACGGGCGACUGGUCCCAAAGAUAAUGGCGGCGUCCGUGGGACCCUCGAUGCAACGAGCUUUUUCUGAAGCACGCGUCGAUCUGGGACACCACGCACGCCCGUCUCUUCCUUUUAUAUUUUUCUAAGGUUGACCUCGGAUCAGGUAGGAAUACCCGCUGAACUUAA
rnacentral:misc_RNA from 2 species